rnacentral:rRNA from 1 species
UACGAAGGGUGCAAGCGUUAGUCGGAAUUACUGGGCGUAAAGCGUGCGUAGGCGGUUUCCUAAGUCGGAUGUGAAAGCCCUGGGCUCAACCUGGGAAUGGCACUCGAUACUGGGAAGCUGGAGUGCGGUAGAGGAGGGUGGAAUUCCCGGUGUAGCGGUGAAAUGCGUAGAGAUCGGGAGGAACAUCAGUGGCGAAGGCGACCCUCUGGACCAGCACUGACGCUGAGGAGCGAAAGCGUGGGGAGCGAACAGG